CUUGACUUGUAUCCGGACUCCUGACCUGCACUCUGUUUACUUUAUCUCUCCAACCUGUGAUAAAUAGUUUUUACAUUUUGCCCUGAAUUUAGAAAUACCCAAUGUUAACAUGUUCUUUAUUUUUUUGCAAGUUAUAGGGCUAUAAGUUCAAGUAGGACUUCGCAGUUUCAAAAUAUAUCAAUAGUGACAUUGUAACACUUAUCUGUCAAAUUCUGAAUCACACCUUACAUGUACCUAUGUUUUUUAAAGUAGACAACCCAGGAUAUUAAAUAUGAGAU